GUUGGUGGUUGUGCAGUUGCAAGAAUAUUAAUUCUUGAGGAAAGUCCGGACUCCAUAGAGGAAUAACACUGGGUAAUAACCAGCAAGACUAAUAAUCUUAGGGAAAGUGCCACAGAAAAAAAACCGCCAUUUUAUGGUAAGGGUGAAAAGGUGUGGUAAGAGCGCACCGGUAAUUUGGUAACAAAGUACGCAUGGUAAACCCUGUUAGGAGCAAGAUCAAAUAGGUGUGACAGAACCUGAGGUUCCUGAAUUUCUCUAAUCAGAUGUCACACGGGUAGAUUGCUUGAGGCUAAUAAUCAUAUUAGUCCUAGACAAAUAAUUGCAGUAGUUUUUAACUAUACAGAAUCCGGCUUAUAGACCACCUAUAAUU
rnacentral:RNase_P_RNA from 1 species